UUUUAUUCGAUUAAAAAUGGCAGAGUGCCAAUUUACAAGCAAUUCUCAAUAAUCAAUAUAUCAUCUUAGCUAUUAUCAAUUUACCCUUAUGUUCUGAGAUUUUUUUCCCCCUAAAAUUGAGGGUGCAUUUAGUACAGUAACCGGGCUCAUGAAAUUAGACAAGAAUGCUUUUCAAGGUCUUCAAACCCAUGGAUGCAAGGACGAUGGGGCGAGUGGCAUGUGUGAGCAAGCAAUGGCACUGAACAACACAGGAUGAUAAGCUUUUGGGAUGGAGGCUCGCCAGCGUUGAAUAAGGAUGAUAGGCUCUCGGAAUGGAAGCUUGCAGGACAAGAGGCUUUUUCUUGCGCUUGUUGGCAUCAUUUGGAUGGUGGGGAUGGAGGCUCAUAGGCGUUGAUUUGGAUUGUUGUUGAACAAAUUAACAAAGGGACAAGGGCUUCGUUGGGAAAGAGAAUGGCAGGGAGAAUAAUAACAAAAUUUUUGUUAAUAAGUAAUUGUAUUAAAAAAAUAUUAUUAGAUGCAUGAUUAAAAUGCAGGUGAAAUGUACAAAUUAUACCCUCACUGUAUUAUUACUGGCACCUACCAACCACAGACGGCCAUUGCCUCACACCAAUCAGCCAUAACAAUAAUUUAACCGUUUAACAAUGCCAACUGCUCUCAUCUCCCGUGGCGUUGCAGUGAUUGGCGCCGGCGCUGCAGGCCUUACUGCUGCACGUGAACUCCAUCGCGAGGGCCACAAGGUCGUAGUCUUUGAACGAGAAAUCCAAAUCGGCGGCAUCUGGGCCUACGAUCCCAGGGUUGAAUCAGACCCAUUGAGCCUCAAUCCGAACCGAACUGUAAUCCACUCGAGCGUUUACAGCUCCCUCCGCGUCGGCCUUCGAAGAGAACUGAUGGGUUUCAAAGACUGCCCGUUCAUACCCAAAGACGAUCAAACAACAGACCCGAGAAGAUACCCAAGUCACAGGGAGGUGUUACUCUAUUUGCAAGAUUUUGCGAGGGAGUUUGAGAUUGAGGAUAUGGUGAGGUUUGAGACUGAGGUGGUUUAUGUUGGGUUAGUGGAGGGCAGUAAGAAGUGGAAAGUGAGGUCCAAAAAGAAGAGAGGUGAUAAUGAUGUUGAGGUUGCUUCUGAUUUUCGCUUCUUUGAUGAGAUUUAUGAUUCUGUUGUCGUUUGCAGUGGGCAUUUCACUGAACCUCGUGUUGCUGAAAUACCAGGUAGUUCAUUUCUUCUGUUGAAUUUUGGGUUGGCUUUGGUUUUGCUUGUUUGAUUGGAUUGAGAUUGUUGCUUUUUUAUACGAAUAUUCAUUUUUGGUUGAUGGGUAUCAUUCUUUUUAUUGAUCUUUCUUUAUUUGCAAUAGAUCACUCAUAUCAUGGAUAUUUAAAACUUUGUUUGGAGAAGGAAACUAAAGGUUUUUAAAUUAAGUUUUUUCACUGUUUUUAUAUUUUUAUAAUUUUGUAUUAUUUAAGGAAAAGAAAAUAUUUUUUUUCAAGGCAUUUGAAUUUCAAUUCAUCGAUUUGAUGCUAAGAAUGACGAUCGUUCCCGGCACUGGUUAGCCCGCCUCACUCUUGAUAUUCCCUGACAUGGAGGGAAGCACGGGAUAAAACCCACCCAUAAUAUAUUAUUUUUUAUUAAAAAUUAAUUAUCUUAUGUAUUUAAAUAUCAUAAAUUUAAUAUAUAUAUAUAUUAUGAAAAUUAUCUUU
rnacentral:misc_RNA from 1 species